rnacentral:hammerhead_ribozyme from 1 species
AUAAAGAUGAUGAGUCCUAAAUAGGACGAAAUGCGCAUCCUGGAU